rfam:Spirochaetaceae bacterium 4572_59 ex4572_59_scaffold_19, whole genome shotgun sequence.
CGGGGUAUAGCCUAGUGGCUAAGGCGCCUGCUUUGGGAGCAGGAAAUCGCAGGUUCGAGUCCUGCUACCCCGA